GACGAACGCUGGCGGCGUGCCUAAUACAUGCAAGUUGAGCGCUGAAGGUUGGUACUUGUACCAACUGGAUGAGCAGCGAACGGGUGAGUAACGCGUGGGGAAUCUGCCUUUGAGCGGGGGACAACAUUUGGAAACGAAUGCUAAUACCGCAUAAAAACUUUAAACACAAGUUUUAAGUUUGAAAGAUGCAAUUGCAUCACUCAAAGAUGAUCCCGCGUUGUAUUAGCUAGUUGGUGAGGUAAAGGCCCACCCAGGCGAUGAUACAUAGCCCACCUGAGAGGGGGAAACGCCACAUUGGGACUGAGACACGGCCCAAACUCCUACGGGAGGCAGCAGUAGGGAAUCUUCGGCAAUGGACGAAAGUCUGACCGAGCAACGCCGCGUGAGUGAAGAAGGUUUUCGGAUCGUAAAACUCUGUUGGUAGAGAAGAACGUUGGUGAGAGUGGAAAGCUCAUCAAGUGACGGUAACUACCCAGAAAGGGACGGCUAACUACGUG
rnacentral:rRNA from 1 species